GCGGCGCGGCGCGUCGCAGUGCAGCCGUGGCGGCGGCCUGGGGAGUGCGGUCCCCGGGUUCAGGCUGGAGGCGCUGGGUGAAAUGCGUUCUGCUCCGGAGCUACGAUUCUCGAAGCGGUCGGGGGGCGUUCUUAGUUGGAAAAGCGACGUCUCCCAGAUGAGCUCGGAUGGAUAGCGGUUCUGGGUCGCCCUCUUUGGCCGUGGGCUUGUGGCAAACUCAUUUGCUGCACCCUUUCUCCUCACGCUUAAAGAAGGGGCGUUCCUUUUUUCUUUCUUUCUUCUUCUUCUUCUUUUUUUUUUUUUUUUUUUUAAAUCGGGACUUUUUUGACCAGCGAGCCUGAAAUGGAGAUGCGGUGCAUCUCACAGUUUGUGUCACUUCCAGGAGGCGAUGAAAGGCAGCGCUUUGUCGCUGCUGUGCAGCGAUACAGGCGUCUGAGUCACGGUGUGAAGUCCUACUGAAACCCACAGCGUCCCCCCCUCCACCUGGGCACAAAGCUCCCCGUCUGUAGGUAGGCUGGAAGAUUUCCCUCUGGCUUUUAUUUGGGUUUCUUCAAGCAACCAGAAAAGGGGGAAGGAAAACAAAACCAAAGCAUUUGGGGAAAAGAAACCGACACAACCACACAAAAACACGCCCCAGUGCCCACCACUGUGAAGAGAACUGACUGACCGCAGGCCUCCAGGAGCCUCAAGUAUGCGCUGCUAGUUCCCGGCCAACCAUUUGCUUUGAUGGUGCUGUGAGUGAGCAGAUUGACUUGACCCCUGUUUUGUUUGUGCCUGACAGUUGUUUCCAGGAUGAAGCGUAAGUGGAGCUGGGGAAGGGAGAGGCACUGGAAGUAAAUCAGUAAAAAAACAACAGAUUUCUCAUGCUUGCACUCUUAACCUUACAUCCGAUGCCCAUGCAAUCAAUUCAAAGAUUUUAGUUGUCUUUUGGUCAGGCCCUCCAAGAACCUUUAUUGCUAAAAUGCUGCAAUGGGUAAAGUACAUCUUAUGAGAGCUUUUUGAGACACUUAGGCUGCAAAUUUCCUUUCCUGUUAAGGAUCUCAUUGCUGCCACAGUGCGAGAGAGGAUGAAGCAUAUUUCAACAGAUGGAAUGUUCUUCAAGUGAGCUGUUUCAGUUUGAUUGUGGGUUUUUUUUUUCCCCCUAUGUUUACUCUAACCCUAUUACUUGCACUUCUGUUGGCAUCUACUGCAAAAAUGACUGCAAUGUCUACAUUUGGUUUUCAAGUUCUGUGUUUUAAGACACCCCGCAGUUUAAGUGAAUAUAGGGAUAUCUGUAUACUAAGCUCCUUUUAGUGCAUGCCAUUGCCCAGGUCAGCAUUUGCAGCUUCUUUGUGCUCUGAGUUGUAUAUCAUAAUCGAUGAAAGCACAAACCAACCAGAUCCAAGAAGCGUGGAGUUACACUUGCUGUGAAGUGUCAUUGGCAAAUGCCAUCUGCCCAGCAGUUGUAACGCAACUCCACCCUUCUCCUCAGUGUGCACAAAGAUGUGAGCAGCUUUCAGUUUUAAAAUGAGCAGAUAACGGAGGCUGAGUGGGAGAAGGAAAGGAAGGAGGCUUUUGCAUGUCCAAAUGUGUUGGAGCAGGAGAGCAGAGACAGAUGCUCAUAGCAGACCCCUGUGGCUGAUGAGCAGAAGGCUUGUCCUGCAGGGAAAGGUCAGGUGGAGAGGAAGGUUCUGUGCUGACAGAAGGGAGAAAAACAAGCUCCAUCUGUGACUGUGCAUUAGGCUUGCUGGAAGGCUUGUACUGAAAUCCAGGAACCCCCUGUGUGUGCUGGUGAGGACUGGUAUUUGCUGGUGAGCAGCCUGAGUCAGGGAAUGAUGCUGAAGUCUCUCUGUUCCUCUUUCAGGCUCCUACCUGCGUUUGUUAGCCUACUCAAGACUCAUUCUACUUAUCAACCCUGAAGCAAUUUUUGUUUGUUUGUUUUGUUGGUUGGCUUAUUGCUACCCCUGAGAACUGAAUAGUGUAGGGUAUACCUCAGGCUGUGUCCUGUUACCAGACUUACAGCCCCAUUGGCAUCAAAUCCCCCAUAGCUCCGGAAACAGCACACAUCUGAUUACCAUAAUUGUGUCCACACCGAGACUUAUGCCAAUGACUCUCUUUAGUAGAGAUGCUGAAUAUUAAUCAAGAAGUUGUAGCAAUAUAUAUAUAUAUAUUAAGGAGAAAUGUGGUUUUACUUUCUUGUGAAUGUUUCUCAGAGGUGUCACUUAAGGAUUCUCUGUAAAUUGAAGUGAUCUGGCUUAAUCUGCAUUGGCAGAAUUAAAGCAGGGUGGGGCCUGUGGCAAGGUUACUGUUACACUGGUAUUUCCUAUUCAUAGGUAUAGACCAGCACAAAAUAAACAGGACUCUUGGAUUGGUAGCCACAUGGCAGGGGCUGUGUGGAUGUAAUGGCAUUAUGGCACCAAUAGGAAGGUGACUUGCUGAUGCCCUUCAUCCUUAGUCUUAGCAGUGAGUGAUCCCACUCUGUCCAUGGCUCACUGACCCUCUUGCUUGUCUUCCCACAAAUAAAGCUAGUUCAGUUCACUCAUGCUGCAGAAGAUUAGAAGUACUGGUGGUACUGAUUGAGAAAAGUAAGCAGUUCUCUUAGGUGAAUGAGCUGAAUUAUUUCCCGUGUGUUCUGAUCAGCAAAAGGGCCUGACAGGGCAGCCUGAAGAGGGAGAAGUGGAAGCACUACCUGUUUGGGUGGCAAUAAGCCACCAAGUAGCUGCGGGGUAAGGCCAGGUGGUACAUCUAAGGCAGUAUUGUACCAGAAUUGCCACAUUUGCUUUUCCCAGUGCAGUUAUUUCAGUAGGGUUGUAGGAAGAUGUCAUUUCUCACAUACAGCUUUUUGGCUGUUUGUCAGUCUGAAGACUGCUGUUCCCAUCAAGCUGCCAAUCUGUGGAAGCACAUCCUGAAGCCCUGUCAGGCAGAAAUCAGGCAGGAUGGUUUGAAUGGUAGGUCUGAGUUUGAAUACUUGGUCUGGUCUCUUCAGAAGUGAAAGGAGUGCUUGCUGGAUCUGCUCCAUAGACACUUGGAUGAGGCUGGUAGCCAGCAGAAGGGCUUGGGAUGGCAAUAGAUUUUACAGCAGAUUCAGGAGAUGCAAUGUGUUUAUAGUCAAAAAUAGGGAAAAAAAAAAAAAAUCAGCUCUGAAUCCAAAAUAUAUCAUGCCCUUGCAAAAAGGAGUAUUCAAGCCUUCUUUGGAGUAGUGUUCAGGCUACUUUAGUGUACAUUUUUCAGCCCUUAAGUUGCACUAGUCUUUCAGUCCUCAUACCAGCUUGAGUUAUAUCUAUCAGCCUUGGGUCUGAGGGCAUUUGAGCAUGUGAAAAGGAGUCAGAGUACAAGAACUGGACUUUGAGUUGUGAAUUUGGCUUGCCGUCUGCUCAGCAGGCUCAAGGAAAUGGAGGAAUACAGGAAUGCAGAGUAGUAUCCCACAGGAAAGGUCAACUCAGUGGAGUUGUGGGAGGUGAUUACAUUUUUCACUUACAACAGAAAUCAAAGUAGUUUUUUUAAGUUGAAUAAAGUAUACUCAAAAGGAACAUUCCAAUAAUGUAUUUGGGCCUUCUGGAGGUAGCCCUAAAUUUGGCCGCCAGUCCAGGCUUUUCUCUUCUUCCUUCUGUCCGUCUUGUUAAUUAUUAACCUAGUGCAUUGGGAGCUACAUUCUUCUAGGUGACUCCUCCCAUGUUUCCAACCUGGGCAACUUGUCUUGCGUUAUUAGUCUGCAGACUAAAAUUGCUCCUUCAUGAGGUACUGCACUCUGGAAAGAAGCGGGCAGCAGAGUGUACAGAAGGUCUGAUCUUCAGUUUUUCAUGUGUUUCGGUUUUAAAUGGAAACUAGCAAAUGGAAGCUCUGCCUGCUGAAAUGCUGCUGCCUCAUGAGAACUGCAGAAAACUCGGCUCCAUUUGCACUUCCUACCGAGGGUGCCCUGAUGGGACUCUGGGAGAAUAAAAGGACACAUCAGAGGAAAAGCUAGAUCUGCAGUAGCUCUCUUCAAGAGCCCUGCUCAUUGGUUGGUUGGUUGAUUUUCAGAGCUGCAAAGGAUGUAAGUAUUUGUCUUUUUUUUUCCCCCCAUCACAAUGGCUUCAGAUUAAAGCUGUUUGUAUUUUAAUAAUUUCCAUAGCAACAUCUCAUCAGCAUUAAUUUGGCUAAAAAAAAAAGAUAGCUGUGCUUUAUUUGUGGUAUUACAGUAAAGUCUAUAAAACAUCGCUCGUAGAAGGCGUUUUGAAAUGUGUGUGAAAAAAGUAGAGAAAUCAGGGGAGAUCAUAUUUUAUAAAGCCAGAUAAAGUUGCUGGCAGUUGGUAGCAUGGAAGAGAUAAUAGAAAAUAGGGUUUGCUUGUUAGUUUUAUAAAAAUAUACAGUAUUUAAUUCAGAAGUGUAGAGUUGGAAUAGCAACCUCCAUAUAUGUAGCAAGGAAUAGCUACUCUGUACUAUUUUUUUCAUGUAGAUGAAUCCAUGUGGUUUUAGCAUAGGCUACUUUGGAAACCACAAAAAGGCCCUUUCAGUACAGAGUAUGAGCAUCCACAUGGGCACUUGGAUCACGGUAACUAAAUUCACACCCUGGCAAGUGUCACAAUGGAUUCCCCAAACAGCAACAAGUAAUUGCUGUGAGCUGGCUGCUGUUGAGAGAGACUCGAAGGACUCCCAUGGUGGAGAGGUGGUUAGUGUCACUCGCAGGCUAAAAGAGCUCGAAGUGACGGAAGAGGAAAUGACUCAGGGCAAGAGAGGAAAAUCAACUGAUGGCACUGUUUAUUAAAGGAGGUGGAGGAAAAAUAAGCAUAACAUCAUCAGGUCUGUGCAAAGUAUUUCCAAGUGACUCCUCUGUUGUGGAUUCAACCUUCAAGUUACACAUUUUCAGUACAAGUAGAACAUACAAUUUGAGAACGUUGCUGUAAAACACAUGCAUUAAGGUAAGUGUAAUUGGUCUGGCUGGAGGUGUUGCGCAAGGACAGCAGAGCAGGAUGGUGAGGCAAGGGGCAGGAGCUGCGUGUGGGAAGACAUGCUGUUGCUGCUGCUGCACUGAAGAAGAAUCUGCUAUAAGGAGACAUGCUGGUAUCACCCUGCUUGUACCAUAACUCGCCAUGCUGCUGGAGGGUCUGGCCACAGGACUUGUCCCAGGAGAUGUAUAGUUUUACCACACUCCAGAGAAAGAAAACCCUUGGUGAGCUAGAAAUCAGCGAGGUCU
ensembl:lncRNA